rnacentral:tRNA from 1 species
GAUCAUCAGUCUUUUGAAAGAUAUUAAAUUGCAAAUUUAAAGAAAAAUUGAUCU